AUUGAACGCUGGCGGCAGGCCUAACACAUGCAAGUCGAACGGUAACAGGAAUCAGCUUGCUGAUUUGCUGACGAGUGGCGGACGGGUGAGUAAUGUCUGGGAAACUGCCUGAUGGAGGGGGAUAACUACUGGAAACGGUAGCUAAUACCGCAUAACGUCGCAAGACCAAAGAGGGGGACCUUCGGGCCUCUUGCCAUCGGAUGUGCCCAGAUGGGAUUAGCUAGUAGGUGGGGUAAAGGCUCACCUAGGCGACGAUCCCUAGCUGGUCUGAGAGGAUGACCAGCCACACUGGGACUGAGACACGGUCCAGACUCCUACGGGAGGCAGCAGUGGGGAAUAUUGCACAAUGGGCGCAAGCCUGAUGCAGCCAUGCCGCGUGUAUGAAGAAGGCCUUCGGGUUGUAAAGUACUUUCAGCGGGGAGGAAGGGAGUAAAGUUAAUAUCUUUGCUCAUUGACGUUACCCGCAGAAGAAGCACCGGCUAACUCCGUG
rnacentral:rRNA from 1 species